rnacentral:rRNA from 1 species
AUGGGAGCUCUACUUGGUGCCAAUCUCUUCGCCUCUGUUACCUCGACUAUCAGCUCUCUAUCGCAUCAUUGUCUUGGUCACUUGUGUGGCUCUCGUCCCUCAUCCUUAGUUCGACGUGGAUAUGUCUCCGGUGUUGGGUCUUUAGACUGUCAGGUUUGUCUGCUUGGUAAACAGUUCUGUUAUUUCAUCCUCAUAGAGAGACGGUUUCUCAACGCCCUUUCGAUCUUGUUCACUCUGAUGUUUGGGAUCCAACUCCAUUUGCCUCGAAAAUUUCUUUACUAUAUUAUCUUUAUAGAUGAUUUCUCUAUAAGAAGUUUGUCGUCAUAG